rnacentral:lncRNA from 1 species
GUUUUAUCACCAGUUAUCCAGCUUGGGAUUUGAACUGUCAGCUCUGUUAUUGUUACUUUCAUUCAUCAUUAUUAUAUAGCCGAUUAGAUCUAUUUCAAGUGUUGCUUUCGUAGCUUUGUCUAGCUUACUCUAGUAGUUUCCUUUGCAAUCACUACGUGAUUGUCGGCUGUAUCAUAGCCGAAUAUCUUUAUAUAGCAAAUCGGCCGAUUCGCUGAUACGCUUUCGAGAUCGGAACCUUAGCCGAUCGGAACCCCUGGAAUUUGACACGUUUUCUUCCUUGCCAA